UCGGUGUGAGAACUGAGACGAGUGCCAUGGUUGCAGGUCUUCGGAGCGGAUCAGUAGUGCUCUCUUCAAAGUUCAGUUGUAGUCAGCUGGGACAGCAGAAGAAACAACAGAAUUCAGGUCUUGGCGUACGUAGGCAGGCAGGGAGGUUCAGUGGACUUUGCAAAAGAGGUCAAUUACAGGGGGAGUUUGCCUUUCUAAGUUAAUCAUCAAACAAUUCUGCAAUAAUCGACACAGGAAGUAGCAUUUGAAUAGCACAUGCAAUGAAUGUCAACUUGCAGCCAGCUGUGAAGACAGAGCAUGAAUUCAAGCAUGGCAACAGCACAGAUGACAUCAUACUGCAUUAAGAAGAUGGUGCCAUUCUCAUGCAAGCACAGAGAGAGGGAGAGAGAGGGAGACUUGUUGUAAUUGACCUUUUAUUAUGAGCAAAUCAACACAAAAGACCACACAUACAGUAACAUUUGAAAUCAGACCUCUCGGAAAUGUACAGAAUAAAAACCCUAACAUUG